rnacentral:misc_RNA from 1 species
UACGGAGGGUGCAAGCGUUGCUCGGAAUUAUUGGGCGUAAAGGGGAGGUAGGUGGUCUCGUUUGUCUAAGGUGAAAGCCCUGAGCUCAACUCAGGAAGUGCCUUGGAAACGGCGAGACUAGAGUCCUGGAGAGGGUAGUGGAACUCCCGGUGUAGCGGUGAAAUGUGUAGAGAUCGGGAGGAACACCAGAGGCGAAGGCGGCUACCUGGACAGGAACUGACACUCAACUCCGAAAGCGUGGGUAGCAAACAGG